rnacentral:rRNA from 1 species
AUUGAACGCUGGCGGAAUGCUUUACACAUGCAAGUCGAACGGCAGCACGGGGGCAACCCUGGUGGCGAGUGGCGAACGGGUGAGUAAUACAUCGGAACGUGCCCAGUCGUGGGGGAUAACGCAGCGAAAGCUGUGCUAAUACCGCAUACGAUCUAUGGAUGAAAGCGGGGGACCGUAAGGCCUCGCGCGAUUGGAGCGGCCGAUGGAAGAUUAGGUAGUUGGUGGGGUAAAGGCUCACCAAGCCGACGCUCGGUAGCUGGUCUGAGAGGACGACAAGCCAAACUGGGACUGAGACACGGCACAGACUCCUACGGGAGGCAGCAGUGAGGAAUUUUGGACAAUGGGCGCAAUCCUGAUCCAGCCAUUCCGCGUGCAGGAUGAAGGCCCUCGGGUUGUAAACUGCUUUUGUACGGAACGAAAAGCCUUCUUCUAAUACAGGAGGGUCAUGACGGUACCGUAAGAAUAAGCACCGGCUAACUACGUGCCAGCCGCCGCGGUAA